rnacentral:rRNA from 1 species
UUCUGCCCUAUCAACUUUCGAUGGUAAGGUAUUGGCUUACCAUGGUUUCAACGGGUAACGGGGAAUUAGGGUUCGAUUCCGGAGAGGGAGCCUGAGAAACGGCUACCACAUCCAAGGAAGGCAGCAGGCGCGCAAAUUACCCAAUCCCGACACGGGGAGGUAGUGACAAUAAAUACUGAUACAGGGCUCUUUUGGGUCUUGUAAUUGGAAUGAGUACAAUUUAAACCUCUUAACGAGGAACAAUUGGAGGGCAAGUNUGGUGGACAUUCAGCUCCCAUUCUGCUGACGCCAGAGAUAGUCAGGCAAUUCGAGAGAGUUGUUAUGCUGGCUAGUCGAUGUACCUACUGUUAUGAUGGGCAGGUACCGGCGAGACAACCUGGAUCGGGGGAGGCUACGGCGUCGACGUACGNUAUGCUAAUCCCGAGCAGAGCUGCCAUAGGGAGACCUUUGGUAUAGCCUGUGUAGAGCACGGAAAGGUGUCGGCCAACACAAGUAGUUGGCUUAAGGGACGUGCCAUUCCCACUCGAAAGAGUGGCUGUCAACAAUAGCGCCCAUCACGCGAAGGUUGGCAGAUUUGAACAAUUAAGCCUGUUCAAAAGUUGAUAUAGGCCAGCAGCCGCGGUAAUUCCAGCUCCAAUAGCGUAUAUUAAAGUUGUUGCAGUUAAAAAGCUGCUAGUUGAACCUUGGGUCUGGCUGGCAGGUCCGCCUCACCGCGUGUACUUGUCCGGCCGGGCCUUCCUUCUGGAGAACCUCAUGCCCUUCACUGGGCGUGUUGGGGACCAGGACUUUUACUUUGAAAAAAUUA